GGGAAUAUUGCACAAUGGGGGGAACCCUGAUGCAGCGACGCCGCGUGAGUGAAGAAGUAUUUCGGUAUGUAAAGCUCUGUCCUCAAGGAAGAUAAUGACGGUACUUGAGGAGGAAGCCCCGGCUAACUACGUGCCAGCAGCCGCGGUAAUACGUAGGGGGCUAGCGUUAUCCGGAAUUACUGGGCGUAAAGGGUGCGUAGGUGGUUUCUUAAGUCAGAGGUGAAAGGCUACGGCUCAACCGUAGUAAGCCUUUGAAACUGGGAAACUUGAGUGCAGGAGAGGAGAGUGGAAUUCCUAGUGUAGCGGUGAAAUGCGUAGAUAUUAGGAGGAACACCAGUUGCGAAGGCGGCUCUCUGGACUGUAACUGACACUGAGGCACGAAAGCGUGGGGAGCAAACAG
rnacentral:rRNA from 1 species